UACGGGGGGAGCAAGCGUUGUUCGGAUUUACUGGGCGUAAAGGGCGCGUAGGCGGUCCGAUAAGUCCCGUGUGAAAUCCCUCGGCUCAACUGAGGAAUGGCACGGGAAACUGACGGGCUUGAGUUCGGGAGAGGGAAGCGGAAUUCCGGGUGUAGCGGUGAAAUGCGUAGAUAUCCGGAGGAACACCGGUGGCGAAGGCGGCUUCCUGGACCGACACUGACGCUGAGGCGCGAAAGCUAGGGGAGCAAACGGG
rnacentral:rRNA from 1 species